ACAAGGUUUCCGUAGGUGAACCUGCGGAAGGAUCAUUAAAGAAAUUUAAUAAUUUUGAAAAUGGAUUUUUUUGUUUUGGCAAGAGCAUGAGAGCUUUUACUGGGCAAGAAGACAAGAGAUGGAGAGUCCAGCCGGGCCUGCGCUUAAGUGCGCGGUCGUGCUAGGCUUGUAAGUUUCUUUCUUGCUAUUCCAAACGGUGAGAGAUUUCUGUGCUUUUGUUAUAGGACAAUUAAAACCGUUUCAAUACAACACACUGUGGAGUUUUCAUAUCUUUGCAACUUUUUCUUUGGGCAUUCGAGCAAUCGGGGCCCAGAGGUAACAAACACAAACAAUUUUAUCUAUUCAUUAAAUUUUUGUCAAAAACAAGAAUUUUCGUAACUGGAAAUUUUAAAAUAUUAAAAACUUUCAACAACGGAUCUCUUGGUUCUCGCAUCGAUGAAGAACGCAGCGAAAUGCGAUACGUAAUGUGAAUUGCAGAAUUCCGUGAAUCAUCGAAUCUUUGAACGCACAUUGCGCCCCUUGGUAUUCCAGGGGGCAUGCCUGUUCGAGCGUCAUUUCCUUCUCAAACAUUCUGUUUGGUAGUGAGUGAUACUCUUUGGAGUUAACUUGAAAUUGCUGGCCUUUUCAUUGGAUGUUUUUUUUCCAAAGAGAGGUUUCUCUGCGUGCUUGAGGUAUAAUGCAAGUACGGUCGUUUUAGGUUUUACCAACUGCGGCUAAUCUUUUUUUAUACUGAGCGUAUUGGAACGUUAUCGAUAAGAAGAGAGCGUCUAGGCGAACAAUGUUCUUAAAGUUUGACCUCAAAUCAGGUAGGAGUACCCGCUGAACUUAAGCAUAUCAAUAAGCGGAG
rnacentral:rRNA from 1 species